rnacentral:rRNA from 1 species
AUGGCUGCGGCUUCUCCUCCCCUCCUCCCCGUCUCCGUUCUCCCGGCGGCCACCACCGCGACCACCACCAUCGUCCUCCCCGUUCCGGACACCUCCUCGGCGGCCGACCAGCGCGCCUACCUCUCCCGCCUCCUCGACUCCGCCAAGCGCUCCCUCUCCGGCGCGCGCCCGUGGGCGGAGCUCCUCGACCGCGCGGCGCUCAGCCGCCCGGAAUCCCUCGCCGACGCCACCGCCCGCGUCCGCAGGAACCUCGCCUACUUCCGCGUCAACUACGCUCUCCUCGUCGCGUUCUCCCUCGCCGCCUCCCUCCUCGCGCACCCGUUCGCGCUCGCCGCCCUGCUCGCGCUCCUCGCCGCCUGGUGCGCGCUCUACCUCCUCCGCGCCGCCGACGCACCCCCGCUGGAGGCCUUUGGGAAGACCUUCUCCGAGAGGGAGACGCUGGGCGGGCUCUUGGCGGCGUCGGCGUUCGUCGUGUUCGUGACCUCCGUCGGGUCCAUCGUCUUCUCCGCCCUCGCGGCCGGCGCCGCGCUCGCCUGCGCGCAUGGCGCGUUCCGGGUGCCCGAGGAACAGCUCUUCCUCGACGACGACAUACAGCCUGGCGCUGGAGGAAGAGUGGGCUCCUCCGUCGACCUGCUCUCCUUCUUCACCAACGCCGCCGGAGGAGGAGGUGGACGCGGCUGA